GUAAUGGGAUUUUUGUUGUUUGACUAUUGUCGAAAUGGACUGUAGAGUCCCACAGAAAUGAUGCUCGUUUAUGACAGGAUUUAACCUGUAAGGCACAGUAUAUUUUUUCCUCAUUCCUUUUUCUUUGUUGUUUUAAUGUAUCCUUUAGCAUAUUCAUAAAUAUAACUUUUAUCCUUCAGGUCUUCAGCCUUUUUUUUUUUUUUUUUCUUUCUCCAAAAGUUUAUGACACUAAAAGCAUAUCAUCUUCCUAAAAGCUAUUUUGGUAGUCACUCUUUUAAAAAAGUUCUCUAACUUUGUGGUUUUUAAUGAUUCAGGUGACUUUUGUGAGUUCUGCCACUCAUCUUCUAAAACCUUUAAAUAAAGUGUAAUAAUCAUGCCAAUUUAUCCUCUUAUUUUUUCAAACAUGAGCCCCAGUGUCUCAGACCAAAGAAAUAGCAAAGCAAAACUAUAAUUUAGAUCGAUAUCAAGACUAUUUCUAUGUAAUCGCUUUAUUUUGGGGUUAGGGGUCAGUUUGUAAGCAAAGAAGAAAAUAAAUAGAUUUGGCUAAAAAUGUAUACCUAUAGCACUAAAAUGUUACUUUGUUUAUAUUCUGUUCUAAUCAGAAAAAUUUUGGAAUAUUUCUUUUUAUAGACAAAUUUCUCCCUUCCAAGUGAGUAAUUCUGAAAUUUCAGAUAAACGGUUAACAAAGCUGUUGUCCCAAGUUCUGAUUUCUUGCAUCAAGCUCAGUUGCUGUGUCUGAACCUGGAUCCCUUGAGGAAGGUUUAGGAACUGUUCACACUACCUACUGCCUGUUCAGGCUCUUGUAUAGUGGCAGUUUGCAGUUUUUCUCUUUGCUCUAGAGAUAUAUCUUAAGAUUUUUCUUUCAAGAAGAGGGAUAUAGAUGUUGGGAACAGAACAAUGACUCUUUUUAUGUGCCUAUCUAGAUUGCAUCCCUGAAUUUGACCAGUUUUAAGAUUAGACCUUUAAAAGCUCAAUGUGACUCACUGCCUCUUUCUCCCUCAUUCCUCUCAUCAGCUUCCUCUCACCCACCCAAAUGAUUUUUAAUGGAUUUAGGAGACCACCAAUGAAAUGAUGGAAGGACCAAUUAAUUUCGAGUAGCAAUUGCCUACCUUUCACUUAGAAUAUAAUGGAAAAAAAAAAGUUCCUUGAUUCAGUAAAGAUAGAAAUAAGAGCAUAAACAUUCAUUUAUAGAUGAAUACAUAAAUUCAGGGGACACUUUGGAACUUACUGGAUUAUGGUGAUGGUUUUUGGAUGGUACAUGCUUCAUUAUUCCAUUUGGGACGGGUAUAUGAUGUAGUUUCUAGAUGUUACCCACUCUUUUGGUGCUAUUUCCUUUAAAUUUUCUUGUGUCUAAGAUUUACCACUAUGUCCUAAUACGUGCUACCCCACUUUCCAAUUCAACUGAACCUUGAUAAAAUGUUCAGUUAAUACUGGAAUAAAAGCUUUUCUUCCUACUCUCGGGAUCUUUAAAGGCUAUGAUUAGAAGAGACUUCAAUGAACUAAUUUUUGUUUUCCUUUUAUAGGAAAAGAAUGUUGUUAAGGGCAAGGUGUAUUUUCCUUACUCGUUUUUGAUAGUUUUAUUUUUUUAGGUAUAGAUACCCAGAUUGACAGGCCUCUGAAAUGUGAAAUUAGUGCUGAUUUCCCAAAUGUGAAUUUUUCAGUCCUACAAUCAAGAAACGAGACAUUGUGGGUUUCUUCACCUGAAUGAGGACCCUCUCUUUUGUACUUGUUUUUAUCUAAAGAGCCAUUUGAGAGAGAGAUGUUUUGAGAAAAGCUUGGAGGUGCCUGUCUGGUGAUAAAUAUCUAUUGGUGAGCUUCUGGGCAGAUAUUCCAAAGCUGCUAGAGUUGGCAUAGAAAGGACAGUAUGGUGACAAUUCACGUUUGCAGCAGCAGGAACAAAGAUCUCAGUGAAGUAAGAGCACCUGUAUCAAUUAGUGAUCAAAGGGAGAGAGGAGUACAUGAAUGUUCAUAGCAGCUUUAUUUGUAAUAUCCCUAAACUGGAAAAUAUGCAGAUUCCUUCAAGUGGGUAAAUGAUUAAACAAACUGGUACAUCCAUACAAUGGAUUAGUACUCAGCAAUUGAAAGGAAUAAACUACUUACUGAUACA